AUCAAUAAAAAAUUAUAAUAUCCCGCCACGUAAGCGAAACGUAUCCUUCCCCAACACCGCCUCCGUUUUGUUUUCCCCUUCUCCCCGAUUUUUUCUCAAUUUUUUUACCUUUAAAUACGCCCAUCCUUGGCCUCUGUAACUCCCCGUCUCCGAAUUAUUUCUUCCCCGCUCUGUGUUUGUGUUCUCCACCGCUUCGAUUCGGUCUAUUCGAUUUUUUUCCCCAACGUUUUGGUUCUGUUGGGGUUUUGCUUUGGUAUUUGGGGGGAAAGAUCCCACCUUUAUAUAGAGCGCUCUCUUGUUUCGGGGUUUUGCGAUGGUUGGGGAGGGGAGGGGGUCGUGGAAUAGGGAGCAGGGCUACCGUUACAAGGAAGGAGGCAGUAGAGCGCAGAAAUCUUGGAGGCCGCCCCAUCACCCUGGUAAAAUUGUUGAAUCAGGUUCCGAGAGUCCAUCAGUUCCUUUAUGGGAGAAGAAAUUCUGCACACGUGUGGGUGCAAUUCCAUGGAAGAGGUUUUGUGAAAACAAGAAAUUUAUUGGCAUGUAUAAAAAUGUGUUACAGUGGGAUGAUUCAGCAGCUUUAGAAGCUUUCCAGAAUGCAAAGGCCCGGUUCUAUGCAGAGUAUAAUGGCCUCCCUUAUAACAUCCCUUUGCCUGACCCAGAUAUGUAUAUUGAUGAGGUCGACCAAGAUGCUGUCAUUGAUCCUGAAAUGGUGGCAGAUUUAGAAAAACCACCUCCGGCCCAUGCUGAUGAGGAUAAUACUGCAACUAAUGGCUGGGAUUCCUUUAUUUUUACAAACCAACCAGUUCCAGCUUCUGGAUGGGGUGAUACAGAAGACCCUGUCCCUUCAAAUGAGAAAACUGGUGAGUUCUCUGCAAAUUGGGAUGCUUAUAUUGAACAAAUUAAACCCAGUGGUUGGGGGGAUGCAGCUGAGCCCUACUCCUCAAGUUGGGAUAUGAAGAAUGAUUCUGGCAAUGCAUGGGGUUACAGUGGUGGAGGUUGGGGAAAGGGAAUUGCACAGGAGAAUCCGUUGGUUGCUGGAAGUUAUAAUUACUGGAGAAACUCUUGGGAAACUUGGGAGAACAGAAAUAGUGAUCCAAAUAGAAGAAAUGGAAGAAAGAGAGAUGGAGGAGGCCGUUUUGGCUCAAGAUUUACGAAACCCAAAUACCAGGUGGAUGGUUAUCAAUCGAAUAGUAGAUGGAGUGAUUGCAGAGGAAGAAAUAGGGCUGACUAUCCUUAUCAGAAGACAGUCUAUGCUAAGCAGCCUCUGGCUAUGUACCAGUGAAACUCCCUGUGCUUGUCUUGGGUGAAAAAUCAUCACAGAUCAGCUGAAUGAGGUGUGCGUGGCAUGAGAGAGGUCCAUACAGUGUUGCAUUGCAUGUGUAUGUACUUAAAGACUAUUAAGAAGCUGAUGGAGUCUGUAUAGUCAAGUUUCAAUAAGUUGGUAAGAAGUUUAAAGGAAAAAACCAUAAAAUGUCAUUCAAUAACCAAGCUAAAUCAUGCAAAAUUCGAUAAUUUUGUUUGGAUUUGAGAAACUCUGUAUAAUGUGUACUAACUGCAUGCAGAUUGUGGAGCAUGAUUUUUAGGAGUUUUUCUUGGCCUAUGUGAUGAUAUAAACAAUAUCUGAACUCACUCUAAAAACCAUACAGCAUGAAUCUGCUCCCUGUGAUCAUAUAACAUUGCCACACUGUUUCACAGAAAGGUUAGCAACUUAGAGGAACAAGAGAUUGCAUUCAUUAUUUCCAAUAAAAAUAUAGUUACCUGCAACUGCUGCUUGCUUUUGAUUCCAGUUGUUCAAAACCACGAGCUAUCAGGUAAAAUGGAUUUGUGAUAGACCCGGUAAAAUUCAUUCUGCUGGUUUGAGAAUUAUAUCAACUAUUGGAGACCAGCAUCACUGUGAUUGUUGUGAUAAUGAUACUCUGGCAACUUGAGAUGUUUUACAAGGAUCUAGGUUGGCAUGGCUUACUUUAGGUUGUCAUUUGCACUCACUUAGCGGUCUGGCUUCUUGGUCAGGUAGAAUCUGCUUGUAAUUAGCAGAGGUUACCCUCUCAAAUUAUGUCAAGAUUCACUAGGAUUCAGCGAAUAAAGAAUUAAUUUGCAACAGGAAGAGCUACUCCUGUUUGGUUUGUGGGAAAGGUAAGAAACAUAGGGCUUUUUAUAUUCUCUCUCAUGUUGGUGAGCUAUUAGGUACAGGAGGGGGGUCAGAUCUUCAGUGGAUAAAGAUGUAGGGAUAUUCACAUUCAUUAAAUUCUAGGUGUUCAGCUUAAAGCAAGCUAUCAACUUGAUGCUAGGAUACCAGGGUAGGUGUAAACUUCUGGAUACCCCAUGAACACCUCACGGAUGUAUCAUGUUUAAAUGUAAUUGUUUGUGAUUAGGUAGGUCAGAUUUGAAAUCGAUAGGUCAACACCAUUGUCAUCAUCAGGAUCCAGGUUAAAUAUUUCCCUGCCUUGUGGUGGUGGUCAACAACUUCACCGGAGAACUUGUAAUUCAGAUUUUUGAAACAGAUGAUGCUUCAGCAUGUCCAAUUGUUGCAAUUAUUGCAACUGGGUAUGUCGAAGUUGAUUCUGCUCUUGUUCAAGACAGUUCCCCUCCCUCUCUCUCUCUCUCUCUGAGUCUCAUGAUCAGCUUAAAAUUUUCUCCAUGACUUUUCCUUCAAUGAUUUACAUAUUGGCACCCCAGUUUUGGAAGAGAGAUUUCAUCAUUUUAACUGCCUCUUAAUGUGUGUGUUUUCUUUGAGGCUGCAUGUAUCUUUGCAAACAAGUUGCAUGCUCAACAUUUCGUCUUUAGCCCUGUUGACUUUGUGAACUGGAGGAAACCCAAGCAGGAAGUUGCCAAUUUUUCAGUUUGACUUGUAUCAGAAAAAGAAAGAACAGGGUUUAAGACAUGCAUCCAAGCGCAAUAUUGUUUGGCUAAGUUCUGUGCAGGAGCGGCCCAAUGUAUUUGGGGGCCUAAGGCCGUUUUGUGUUUUAGGCCUUUCCUACAGUGGGCCGGCUUAAGGCGAAUUCACAGGGGGCCUUUUUUUUCCAUUUUAUCUUUGAGGCAUUUCCUGCGGUGGGCCUUCUUUGGGCCGGGGCCUUAGGCGACCGCCUCAGUUGCCUAAGGGUUGGGCCGGCCCUGGUUCUGUGAGGAUGUCGAGGCUGAUGGCUAGGAUGGUUGAUUUGGGGUUUUAUUGCUCGAGUCAUUUCAGAAUACAAUGGGACUACGUUCUAUUCGUCAGCAAUGGCGGCAUUAUUCUGGUGGGGUGUCUUGAUUUUGGGUGCCCGCAGCAAACUAGUCUGUAUAUGUUGAAAGCAAGGACUGAAAGUUUUUGAAUUGAUUAUUAUAUUUCUGUGAUUCCUUAAGGUUGAAUUCUUAUACAAGAGUAGGGUUGGCAAUCGGGUCGGACAUAAACGGGUCGGAUCAGAUGCAAUCAGGUCAGAAAAUCAUAAACCUGAAUCUGAUCUGUUUAUUAAACAGGUUCGAAAAUCAUAAAUCUGAAUCCGAUUAAACAGGUAAUCCGAUCCAAUCUGUUUAACAUGUUUAAUAAAGAGGUAAUCUAUUUGGCCAACCCGACCCGACCAGUUCGAAAAGGCUGAAGAAAAUUUCGAAGUGGGAACCAUUCCAAGUGGUGCAUCCAAUGGAUCAAAAGCAUCAUCCAGUUGGUGCUCGGCUUAGAAUGAGAAGGAUAUUUUUGAAAGUAUAUUAUUUCUUUUAAGUUGGUCCGGGGAUAGUAGGCGUGGCGAGUCAGGCGUGGCUCCCUGGCUUUCCUCAGGAAA